AACAGUCAUACAGAAUAUAUUAGAAAGCUUUUUUGAUUUUCAGCCAAUCAGAGAGCAGCACUACUGAAAUAGAACUCCCAGGAGGUAACAGCGUGUCACACAUGUGAUGUCAUAACCAUUGUCCACCAAAGAGCAGCACUGAGCAGAAAUAACACUGCUCCUGUUCAUUCUCCAUCAGUGAGGGGCCGGUGCUGGACACUGUGUAGGGACGCGGGAAUGCAAAGUCAUACACAUGACUGUGACUGAUGCACUAUCUCCAGGACAUGGAGUAGCAUUUCCGGACCUACAGCAAGACGUUGGAUGAAGGCAUAGCCCCAGAAAUAACACUGGUCCUGUUCAUCAGUGAGGGGCCGGUGCUGGACACUGUGUAGGGACACGGGAAUGCAAAGUCAUGCACAUGACUGUGACUGAUGCACUAUUUCCAGGACAUGGAGUAGCAUUUCGGGACCUACAGCAAGACGUUGGAUGAAGGCACAGGCCUAGGAAUCAUGCACAUACACAGAAACAUUUGCCCAAAUUCUAGAGGUAACCUCCUUUAGUAUGCCCAGAGGAAGGGCCAUACAGUAGCCAUGGAUUCCCUACAGGUUUCCUCCCCUCUGGAGGUUUUUCCUGUCCUGAGUAUUAGUUACUGUACGCUCUUUGUGAGUGAUGGGAGGUUACAAAAAAUCCCCUACACAAACAUUUUAAUAAAUAAUAAAUAAAG